rnacentral:rRNA from 1 species
UGCAGAGGUCUCAAGCGUUAAUCGGAAUUACUGGGCUUAAAGGGUCCGCAGGCGGUCUGACAAGUACCUUGUGAAAUAUCAGGUCUCAACCCUGAAACUGCUCGGUAGACUGUCAGACUUGAGUGCAAAAGGGGUCGCUGGAACUCUAGGUGGAGCGGUGAAAUGCGUAGAUAUCUAGAGGAACGCCAAAGGUGAAGACAGGCGACUGGUUUGCAACUGACGCUCAUGGACGAAAGCGUGGGGAUCAAACGGG